AUUUAAAGAGUGCGUAAUAGCUCACUGGUCGAGUGACUCUGCGCCGAAAAUGUACCGGGGCUAAACGUAUCACCGAAGCUGUGGAUUGACAUCUUAGAUGUCAGUGGUAGGAGAGCGUUCUAAGUGCUGUGAAGUCAGACCGUAAGGACUGGUGGAGCGCUUAGAAGUGAGAAUGCCGGUAUGAGUAGCGAAAGACAAGUGAGAAACAUGUCCACCGAAUGCC
rnacentral:rRNA from 1 species